rnacentral:sRNA from 1 species
GAAUGUGAGGGCGAUCUGGCUGUGACAUCUGUCACCCCAUUGAAUGCCAGGUUGAUUUGGCUCAUCUGCCUGGUUAUGUGGGUGUCCCCUUGCUCCAUCAUCGCUCCAUGUGUGACCCUCCCAAAGCCGUGUGCUUCUGUCGAGGAGGAUGGCCUUCCCUAAGUAGAGGUGACCGGUCUUUGGGUGAAAGUAUAUGAAUAGCUAUGUUCCCCUUGAUUGAACCUCCAGACAAGCUCUGAAUCUGUUCAGGUAUUU